CACGGACACAUGUUGAUAACAUGAAGCUUUUGUCUGACACGGUAGGCACGGUUUACUUGGCCUGUUCACCAUGAGUGCCUCCUCUUCCGCCUCUUCCUGGGCUUUCUUGCCUGCUCAAGCACUAACCUUAUCAGACCAAACCACAGGAUCAGGGUUGUACAGAAAACCUAUUAUCAGUUCCUAGAUGAAGCCACGAGCCACGAGCCGGAAUGUUUGUACAGAAGAAGGAAACAUCCCCGAAAGCCGUGCAUGCCCUUGACUGAGGAACAGCCACCAAACUUCAAGCUUCCCCACCUUGAGUCGAGCAGCCUGGUGAGAUCCCUCUGGCCACAACCUACUCCCUUCGGCACUCAAGCUGAACCGCCCGUUAGUACUUUGCCUGACUCGUAUGUAGCAUGUGGCUUCAUCUCCUUUCUUUCUUCCACAUUAAGCCUUCUUCAGGGAAAAGUGCAGACAACCCCAGAGCUGCCCAGCUGGGCUGGGUGCCAUCCUGCCUGACUCACUGUCCAGCACCAAAAUCCCUGUCUGCCUCCUGGACCUCUUGAACAUGCUGACCUCAGAAGGUGAUGUGGGCGCAAAUGGACCGGCCAUAGAAACUUCUUGGAAGCAUCUAGAAGCACACGAAGACCUGAGCAGGACUUAUAGCUCAGGCACUGGAUCAGAGGCUGGUGUUGAAACAGAAGUAGGGACAGCUCCAGAGACCACCUGCAUUUCUGUCUCCUCCCCUCCCUCUCCUCCCCUUCACCCCCCUCCUUCAGUGUUCUUUGGAUCCCCUUGCUGACUUCAAGUCACGGUAUUGUGGAGCCCACCAUUUUGCAGGGAAAAGCAGCCACAGUUCUCGGUCUUGGCAACUCUCCAAGGCCAUGGGGUGCUCAACUUGUUUGUUCUAAGACAGUCUCAUAUAGCCCAGGCUGGCCUAGAACUCACUAUGCAGCCUUGACAUUCUGAUAUGAGAGCUGGAUCUAUAUGGGUGAUCCCCAUUUUAUGCAGUAUUGGGGGUAAAAAAAUAUGACCAAGUGCAUGCUGGGCUAACACUCCCCUCUGAGCCCCAGCCCAGGCCUCCAGUGCUGUGAGUCAGGUCAUCUCACAGCUCCAGCUGCCCUUAGGAACUAUUCCCUCCAGCUGUCCGCCACAAGCUCUCCCCCUCUGCCCUGUACUCCACCCAGGGUCUCCACAGCCUCACUGCCAAACACUGUGCCUUAUAAUAACAGGUCCAUGGCUCUGCCUGAGUCUUCUCUGAUGACUCCCUCACCUGCUCCUCCCUCCCAUGAUUCUCUUUAUUCUGAGUCCUUGGAUUCCAGGACUCAUAAUCCAGUAUUAGCUUACCUGCCCCACGCAUUCCCAAACAAUGAUCAAGAAUCUGCCACGCCCAACUCAUAUAAUACCAGUCUGAAAUUCCUUCUUCCUCUCUCUCCUGAAGCCUGCUAAUCCUUCCACACAGCACAAAUGCCAACCAGACCCUAAGCUUUCCCCUGUCACCUUACCAACAGACCGAAUCUAACAGGACUCUGUUUGCCUUGGUUAAAUUACCUGUUUUGUGAGCAUCACAACAGCAGCUACUACUUACUGGUCUCUGGAGAACUUCACAUAUAAGAACUCAUUUUACCCCCCCCCCCCUCCCACAACCACACUAAGUGAUCCUGGAGCCCACACCAGCCAACAGCUAGUCUUGAGGAAGCAGGAUUUGACUGCACACAGGGAGAAAGCAGGUGGUCACAGGGUAUAUUCCAAAUUCUCAUGACUUCAUCCUGUUAUGUUUGUCUAUUCUAGACACUAAUAAACUCAACGAGAGUGGA